rnacentral:rRNA from 1 species
CCUACGGGUGGCAGCAGUCGAGAAUUUUUCACAAUGGGCGAAAGCCUGAUGGAGCGACGCCGCGUGGGGGAUGAAGGGCUUCGGUCCGUAAACCCCUGUCAUUUGUGAACUAGUAGCAAAAGAGGAAGGGACGGCUAACUCUGUGCCAGCAGCCGCGGUAAUACAGAGGUCCCAAGCGUUGUUCGGAUUUACUGGGCGUAAAGGGUGCGUAGGUGGUGAGGUAAGUCUGAUGUGAAAUCUCCGAGCUCAACUCGGAAAUGGCAUUGGAAACUACCUUGCUAGAGGAUUGGAGGGGGGACUGGAAUACUUGGUGUAGCAGUGAAAUGCGUAGAUAUCAAGUGGAACACCAGUGGCGAAGGCGAGUCCCUGGACAAUCCUGACACUGAGGCACGAAAGUUAGGGGAGCAAACAGGAUUAGAUACCCUUGUAGUC